UAACUAUGCUAAGCCUCUGUGCUAAGCAGGACAAAACAGCCAAGUCAUUCAGGGGUGAGCCCCUGUGUCUGACAUUUCCAGAAAAAGGUCCCCUUCCUCCUCAGAAUGGGGUGUCUAGGAAUAUUCCAAGAACAUUUCCCACUUGCCACACAUUGAGAUUAUUAUGAUACAUACCUUUCUGACUCAGAUAAUGAUUUGAGCUGGUUAUUUGAAUUCAUUCUCGAACAAAACGGGGAGAUUGCGUUUUAGCAGAAAUCAAGCUGCGGUGCAAAAAGAGAAAAAAACCUAACAUUUGAACACUCACUAAAGUAUAUAUUCCUAAGGAGGAAUAUCCAACUCUGUGCAUGUCUUUCUCUGUCUUAGGGAUAAGAGUGGGAGAUAGGACAGGAUAUGUAGGUGAGGCUUUACUUAAUUUGUAUUGUCUUUUUGGUAGAAAGAACAAUAGGGAGAUAUACAUACUUCUAAAACAGGCCUUCUAUAAUCCUAGGUGUUUAUAGUUACAGGUGGGGUUUUCUGGAGAAAGAUGCAGAGAUAUAGGUUAGGGUCCAUAAUUUUAAAGAGACCAAAGAGAAGAGAAAGGAGCAGGAUUGACCAGGGAAAGAAGUUGAACUGUAUGGUGGGCUCCAUACUAGUAGGGAGCUCUAGUGUGAAUAUUGUCCAUCCAGUUUGUGCUGCGUUGGGUCUAAAUGGCCUGGCCUUUCUAUGCCUGCUUGAUUGCUUCUGUCACCAGAUGAGACUUGCCAGGGAGGACAUGAACUGGACAAGGUGGUCUCUGCAGCUGAGGCAGGUGCUGGAGGAGCUGAUAGCUGGAGGUUGCCUGAUGGCCUCAUUCCAUGCAGCUGGGCAGCACAUCCUUCCUGAAGGAAUGUCUUUGUUGUCUGCCACUAGACCCAACACAAAAUUGAUGGCAUAGUUGGGUGAUUGAGGAGAAAUUAGAGAAGGUGCCAUUUAUAAGGGUGCUAUAUUAUUCUCUGUAAGUUGCAGUGAACUAUACCCAUAAACGUCAAGGACCAAGGAAGGUGGCAAUUGCCAUGACCUGAAGAGGACUGUAGCAGUGGCUCUAACUAUAGGAGUAGCCUCCCCUCUUAGGGCUAUGGCCUUAGGCAGAAGAAAACAGCAGAUAUCAACCUAUAGCCUAGGAAGAAGCGAGCUAAGGAAAUAAAAUUUCCUUUCCUCUGCUGGUAUCUACCA
rnacentral:lncRNA from 1 species